GGUCUUGUGGUCUAGUGGUAUGAUUCUUGCUUAGGGAAAACCCUAAACCUUCCAUUGCAAGAGGCCCCGUGUUCGAUCCACGGCAAGACCC
rnacentral:tRNA from 1 species